GACGAACGCUGGCGGCGUGCUUAACACAUGCAAGUCGAACGGAAAGGCCCUGCUUUUGUGGGGUGCUCGAGUGGCGACCGGGUGAGUAACCCGUGAGUAACCUGCCAUUGACUUUGGGAUAACUUCAGGAAACUGGGGCUAAUACCGGCUAGGAGCUCCUGCUGCAUGGUGGGGGUUGGAAAGUUUCGGCGGUUGGGGAUGGACUCGCGGCUUAUCAGCUUGUUGGUGGGGUAGUGGCUUACCAAGGCUUUGACGGGUAGCCGGCCUGCGCGGGUGACCGGCCACGUUGGGCCUGAGAUGCGGCCCAGCCUCCUCCGGGAGGCAGCGGUGGGGUAUAUUGCACAAUGGGCGGAAGCCUGAUGCAGUAACGCCGCGUGGGGUAUGACGUCCUUCGGGUUGUAUUCCGCUUUCGCCUGUGACGAAGCGUGAGUGACGGUAAUGGGUAAAGAAGCACCGGCUAACUCCGUG
rnacentral:rRNA from 1 species